GGCGCACGGGUGCGUAACGCGUAUGCAACCUACCUUAUACUGGGGUAUAGCCCGGAGAAAUUCGGAUUAAUCCCCCAUGGUAUUAUUUAAUCGCAUGGUUUGAUAAUUAAAGGUUACGGUAUAAGAUGGGCAUGCGUCCUAUUAGCUAGAUGGUAAGGUAACGGCUUACCAUGGCUACGAUAGGUAGGGGGCCUGAGAGGGUGGUCCCCCACACUGGUACUGAGACACGGACCAGACUCCUACGGGAGGCAGCAGUGAGGAAUAUUGGUCAAUGGGCGCAAGCCUGAACCAGCCAUGCCGCGUGCAGGAAGAAUGCCCUACGGGUUGUAAACUGCUUUUAUUUAGGAAUAAACUCUUGUACGUGUACAAGCCUGAAGGUACUAAAUGAAUAAGCACCGGCUAACUCCGUGCCAGCAGCCGCGGUAAUACGGAGGGUGCAAGCGUUAUCCGGAAUCAUUGGGUUUAAAGGGUCCGCAGGCGGAUUUAUAAGUCAGUGGUGAAAUCCUAUCGCUUAACGAUAGAACUGCCAUUGAUACUGUAGGUCUUGAAUUCGGUCGAAGUGGGCGGAAUGUGUAGUGUAGCGGUGAAAUGCAUAGAUAUUACACAGAACACCGAUAGCGAAGGCAGCUCACUAGGCCUGGAUUGACGCUCAGGGACGAAAGCGUGGGGAUCAAACAGGAUUAGAUACCCUGGUAGUCCACGCUGUAAACGAUGAUUACUCGUUUUCGGCGAUAUACAGUCGGAGACUAAGCGAAAGCGAUAAGUAAUCC
rnacentral:rRNA from 1 species